UAUUCUACUGCAUUCUAUUCUACUGUAUUCUAUUUUACUGCAUUCUAUUCUACUGUAUUCUAUUCUACUGCAUUCUAUUCUACUGUAUUCUAUUCUACUGCAUUCUAUUCUACUGCAUUCUAUUCUACUGUAUUCUAUUCUACUGUAUUCUAUUCUACUGCAUUCUAUUCUACUGUAUUCUAUUCUACUGCAUUCUAUUCUACUGUAUUCUAUUCUACUGCAUUCUAUUCUACUGUAUUCUAUUCUACUGCAUUCUAUUCUACUGUAUUCUAUUCUACUGCAUUCUAUUAUACUGUAUUCUAUUCUACUGUAUUCUAUUGUACUGCAUUCUAUUCUACUGCAUUCUAUUCUACUGCAUUCUAUUCUACUGCAUUCUAUUCUACUGUAUUCUAUUCUACUGUAUUCUAUUCUACUGCAUUCUAUUCUACUGUAUUCUACUCUACUGUAUUUCAGUCAAUACCACUCUGACACUGCUCGUCCUAAUAUUUACAUCCUCCCUUAAAUUAAUUAUUUUAUACUUUAUAUGUGUGUAUUGUUAGAUAAUACUGCACUGUUGGAGCUGGGAGACACAAGCAUUUCAUUACACCCGCAAUAACAUCUACUUAAUAUGUGUAUGUGACCAAUAAUAUUUUAUUUGGAGAGGUAAUGUGUGGAGAGGUAAUGUGUGGAGAGCUAAUGCGUGGAGAGUUAAUGUAUUUGUUUGGGUAAUGUGUGGAGAGGUCAUGUAUGUGUUUGGGUAAUGUGUGGAGAGGUACAGUGCCUUGAGAAACUAAGUGCAAACCAGAUUGAAUGGCAUAUCGCUACAGAAUGCCUUAAAGUCUAAAUAAAUCACUGACAGUGUCACCAGCAAAUCACCAUCACACCUCCUCCUCCAUGCUUCACGGUGGCAACCACACAUGCGGAGAUCAUCCGUUCACCUACUCUGUGUCUCACAAAGACAUGGCGGUUGUUGGAACCAAAAACCUCAAAUUGGACUCAUCAGACCAAAGGACAGAUUUCCACUGGUCUAAUGUCCAUUGCUCGUGUUUCUUGGCCCAAUCAAGUCUCUUCUUCUUAUUGGUGUCCUUUAGUAGUGGUUUCUUUGCAGCAAGUUCUUGAAAUUUUCCGGAUUGACUGACCAUGUCUUAAAAUAAUAAUAGAUUGUCGUUUCUCUUUGCUUAUUUUAGCUGUUCUUGCCAUAAUAUGGAUUUAGUCUUUUACCAAAUAGGGCUAUCUUCUGUAUACCACCCCUACCUAGUCACAACACAACUGAUUGGCUCAAACGCAUUAAGAAGGAAAGCAAUUCCACAAAUGAACUUUUAACAAGGCACACCUGUUAAUUGA